UGUCACUUGGGAAGCUCUUAGAGCUAGAAGAUGGGGGAGGGGCAGAGUGAAGAGGAGAGAGGAAGAAAAGAAAGGGGGAGGGGAGAAGGAGGAGCUCUCCACCAGAAUGCCUAGCGUUCUAUGCUGGAUGAAAGUACUGGACAUGUGCUCCACUGUCCCAGAGGCUCAGGUGGUGACUGCCCCUUAGGGGACAGAGGGAUAGGACAGAGGCUAAGGGGGGAGAAGCUUUGGGUGUCUCCCCUAAAGUGUGGUCAGACUCCUCUGUUUCUUAGUCCCUUUAAGAUCACCAUAAUAAAAUACCCAAACCAGGGUGGUUUGUUGACAGCUGACAUUCAUGGCUCAAGCACUGGAAGCUGGGAGGGAUGGAACAACCAUGAUUUUAACCAAAAACACUUACAGAAGGUCUUGCCUCCACCAGACGUGCUUGAGCAGAGCUGCUCUUCCAGAGGGGUUCCUAUGCCCAGGACCAGGAGAGGACCCCAUCCCAACAUGGGGCAUGCUACACCAGCCACAGAGCAGACCAUGACCUUUCUCCAAGCCAUAGCAAGAAGGGCCUGCUCUGAGGUGGGAGCUAAAGAAGGGCUUCUGGGUGUGCCCUGGUGAGGACAACUGCUCACCUCAACCCAACUCAGGACUCAGUGCCAGCUGUGUGUCAGCGACUCUGCUAAGUGCCAGAGGGAGACAAUGCAGUUUCUUUCCUUGUGUAGUUAGAGUCUACUGAGGGUUCACCGGUGGGUCAGGGUUUCUCCCAAGCUGUGAGCACAGCCAGGUGAAGGCAGGGGCAAGCAAGGCUCCUUCCUAUCUCACUCAUCUCUCCGAGGAAACAAUAGUCAUCCCCUUGAAUACUCAGGCAAGGGCUAAGAGGUGUGUGCGUGAGAUUUCCGAACCUGUUGAAGAUUCAGACUGUGGGGCUCUGUAAGUGGGCCUGACUGCUCGUUCACUAACUAACUUGGCUAAAGCUAGGCUCUGGCCUGAGUGUGUGGUACCUGUGUAGUACUGAUGUAUAGUGCUGACAUGAAGUAUUGACAUGUAGUGAUGGCAUGUAGUGCUGACAUGUAGACUGUAAAAUCUACAUGGGCUUCACUAGCUUUCCUUUUGACAUUUUUUAUUUUUUGAGUACAGUUCUCUUGUAGCUCAGGCUGCCUCUAACUUGCUAUGUAGCUAAGGCCUACCCUUCAUUUUUUAUCCUUCCGCCUUCACAUCCUGAGUCCUGGAGUUAUCAUCACCACACCUGUUGUUAGUUUGUUUUCUCCUGUUUUUCUCAAUUCAGUCUCCCUGUUGAUCAUUUCUCUGUCCUUCUUACCCCUACCUACCCUGCUCCCUCCCUCCUGCCCUCCUUCCCUCAGCACUGGAAUCCAUGGCAAAUGACUGGAUUCUAGGUUUAGGGAAUAUUCAAUGUUCACAAGGCAUGAUGCUAGCUGACCUGAGAUUUGGAGACCAGGAACACAGGGCAUUCCCUUAAGAAUUGUCAAACUAGUUUGGGAUUCAUAAAGUGCUUUGGUGGAAGACAGGUGCUUCUUAGGGGAACGUGUUAGGGGAUGGGGUUGCAGGGAACAGGAGAGUGGGUGCAGUGCCUGAGUGUGGGAAUGCCGGUGCUGCGGUGCGCAUGGCGUGCCCAGGUUGUGUCAGAAGCCUCCAAGGCUAACACAAGGGAUCACUGAAGAGCCUUUCCCCAGAUUUACCCAUUAUUUAUGCUUCCGAAAACGUCUGAGGAAAAGUUAGACACCUUGACCUUUUCGCUUUAAUUACUUCGGGGGAUAUUUUCAAGGAUCUUCUUUAAUACAGUUUGCUUUCCUUUCGGUUAAGCCUUAUCCCAGACACUGGUGGGCUAUUCUAGGUUGUAAAUAAAGCUUACGUUGUGGGAGUCAGCUAGGCUAUCCUUUUGUAUGAUGAUGCUGUGCUGGUGUGCUGGCCACUGGUGGAUGCCUAAUCCCUAAGUCUUGUCAGAACUGUGUUGACCUCAGGAGUCCUGCUUGAGUUUGUUUUCUGAUGGACAGCUGGUCUGUGUUCUUAGGGACCUGGCUGGGCCUCUGUUACAUUUUGUUUCCCUCCACUUUGUUCUAGAAUUUUCUGUGCAUUUUCCCAGCCAUAGAUGUGACUGUCGUAUGGUAUUGGCUUGCCAGUGUCUAGCAUGGUAUGUGGGCUACAGAAUCAGUUUGGUUGGGCACCAUCUGUGCCUUGGAGGGCAGAAUGGGGUCCUUAGCUAACAACGAAGGUUCCCCAUAUCCGUCUUGCCAGGAAGAUUGAGGCUCUGUGGCGGUCUGGCUCAUUGUCCUGUGGUCCUGCUCAAGACUGGAAGUCUAAGGCAAAGGAAACAUUUUCCAGAGCACAGCUGAGGGACAGAAUGUCUCAAGGAGAUGGGCUGGGUUGGGCUGGGCUGGGCUAGGCAGGGCCGGGCUGAGCUGGGCUGGGCAAGCAGGGUUUUGGAAACCCCCUGCUUGUUCUGGGAGCUGUUCAGAACACUGAGGUUUUGGAAAGCCAUGGCGGCUUGUCACAACUGUUGCUGCUUUGAGGAGGAGGUGGAAUGGCCUGGUGCCUAAUGCCUUGGGUUGAGUGGGAAAGGUGAAGUCCAGCCUUGCCAGCCUGGGACCUGGGCCUCUGCUGGGCCUGGGGGAACACUGGACUUUGAAGAGGAAUAGAGCCCUCAGGCCGAGGCCUCUGAAUGGUGAGAGUGUUGCCGUGGCCAACCAUGCCUGAGGUUUGUUUGGUAGGCAGUGGACUUGACACAGCCAUGAAACUUUCCGGCCUGGUCUCAAAGACACCCCUGAUGGAGCUGGCAGGGGAACCCCCAGAGGACCCAUGAACAGAACACGCCAGAGUACAGGACGAGGAGAGGUCAGGGUUUUAUAAGACACUUGGUCCAGGACUUUAAAGUCAGGGAGGGCUUAGGCUUGAGGAAGGCCGGAGCCUCCUUCUCUAGUAGCUUCUACACUCUUCUGCCCUGCUUUUGACACAACCAGAAUGCCCAGGGUCUGGUGCCAGCCCUGCUCUGUGAUCAAGGGCCAGCCAGUUCACCUCUGUAAACUGUCUUCUCACCCCUGAACUGGGGUGGAGCACUGGGCCCCUUUAGCAGCUGCUCUCAGAGAGCUUCCGAGGGCUCGGAGAACAAGAAAAUACACACAGAUGACCAGACUACCACUUCACUUCAAAAAUAAUUUUGUUUAUUCUUACUGUGGGCUGGGGAGAGUGUUUGACUGGGAAUCACACACAGGUGGAGGUCUCUCCUUCCACGUUUAAUAAGAAUUACAUGGAUUGAGCAGAGAGGUCUCCAGAUUUAAAAGCAAGCGCUUUCAUCCCCUGAGAUGUCUCUAGAUUUGAUAAGGGCACGGUGGACCCAGGCAAGUUCCCCACAACAUUCCUCGAGGGGCGGCCCUGACUUUUAACUACAGACUCAUUCUUCUUGGUGUCAUGGAGGGCCUGACACAAGUAGGGCUCUAGGCUGAGCAGGCAAGUCCAUCUAAGCUCUCCUACAAGCCAUCAGAGGCACGUGCCACUCCCAGUUCCAUAGCUCCAGCUCCCCCCAACCCCGACAGAAACCUCGAGGCUUUCAGGGUCCGGCAGCCUGCAGAAGGGACCCUGCAUCCUGCCCACCCUGGCUCCUGGACGCCCUGAUCCCUUUGGGGGGUUCUGGAGAAGAGGGAACUCGGGUCUCCUUGCUGCGGUCCGUUCUCCCAUGGCACUGACGUUGCCCUGCGGCCCAGCUGGCUGCAGUUUUUCCGCAAUAACAAUAUCCCGGGGAGGGAGGAGCGGCGGGGUGAAUGGGCGCCUUUGUCCCCGACUCGGUGAAGGCCGAUUAAUUAUGCGCCGCGGAGCGCGGGAGCGCGGCUGUCCGGCCCCCUGCGCGCCCUGAAAGGCCUGGGCUUGGGAGCGCGGCCGCCGGCUCCGCGCCGACGCACAAAGGGCCGCGCAUUAGCAGCCCAGCAAUUACCCAGCGUUUUGGAUGUGUCCUUGUCUCGCUGACACUGCGCCGCCCCUCCCCGGGCGGCUGCACUUUGAGGAUUUGCAAGUCCUUUCUUGGUUGCUAGGGGCGACUAGGCAGAGGGGUUGGGAGCUUGGAGUUGGGGUGGGUGGGGGAUGCCAGGCCUGCCCAGUUGGAAGUGUCCCGGGCCGAAGUGGGGGAGGGGUGAGUGGUUGUCACCCCUAGGGACCUGGACCUUAGGGGCUCUAAAGCUAGAAGCCUGGUCAGAGUGCAGAUUCCUGGGCCACACUCAGAGGACUUCUGUCUUCGUCGGUAUAGAGUGUCUUUUAAGCACCACAGACACAGUUUUUAAAAAGCUAGGGUGGAAUAGUCAAACAAAAUGUAUAAACUAAAGUUUGAAAAGCAUUGAAAUUUAUGAUUCUUUUGUGUGCACAAGUGGAUGGAGGUCAGAGGACCCCACUUGUAGGAGUCUGUUUUCACUUUCUACCGUGCGGGGCCUGGGAGAUAUUCAGGCUCAGCAGCAACAGAAGGCUGGUGAACCUUCUCGAAGGCCUUUCUCACACAGCUCCCCUGUGUGACUUUUGCCACAUACGUGCCCUGUGUCAUCCGCAACACAUUGACGGACAAUCACCAGUCCAGAACACUCCCUGAAUCCUCCUACGAGCCCCACCCUCCCAGGUUCUCCGGAGGGUGACACAUCCCUUAAAUUUCAUGUAGCUGUGGAUCGAAGACCCACGGGAGCCUGCAGCGUGUGCUGCUUCAUCUCCGACUUCUCACUGAAAUCCGGACGGCGUAUAUGCAGAGUUGGUUUCCUUAAAACAGCUCACCUGCAGGUUAGUGGACACUGAGACCGCGUACAAAUUGUGGUCGUUGUAAGAAAAGCCACUGUGAUCAUUUUGUACACAUAUUUUCAUGUGUGUCUUUUGGGUCAAUACCUAGAAGUGCAGUCGCUGGGUCACCGGGCAGGCUUGUAAGAGAAAGCAGCUGGCUUCCUUUCUUUAGCAUCUAUACUCUGUGCGCCUCACAGCGCAUGGGAAGUGUAUCGGCGUUCCAGUUACUCUACAUCCGGGUCAGCACUUGGCAUUGUCAAUGGUUUUGAGUUCAGCUGUUCUAACUGUUGUGACACGGAAUCUCACUGUAGGUUUGUUUGUUUGUUUGUUUGUGUUUGCUUUUAGGAGAGCAGGUGAUUUUAAUACCUGAGCUCCAAAGACUCUGUAUGUGACUGUGGUUGCUAACUUUUCACCAGCCACAGACAAAUCCUGCCUGUAUCCUUCUCCCUCACCCCCACAAUGAAUUGUGUGGUUGUCAUUGCUGCUGCUGUUGUCUCUGAGUGCGGUGCUGGGAAUCGAACCCAGGACUUUGCUCAUGCCAGAACCCGGGACCACCAGCCCAGGGAUGGCCCCACCCACAGUGUGCUGGGCCUUCCCCCACAGAUCACAGCUGUACAGCCAGAGCUUGUGGAGACAUUUCUCUCUCCCCUCUGAUGAUGCUAGUUUGUGUUAAGUUGACACACGAAACCAGCCAGAGCAACCAGAGUGGUUCAUAGUACAACUGCUCUGUUUCGUUUUACUCCAACCAUUCCAUUCCUGUUGUUGUUGCUGCUUUCCCAGACAAGGUUUCUCAGUGGCUUUCCCAGGCAUGCCUGGCUGUCCUAAAACUCAUUCUGUAGAUGAACCAGGCUGGCUCCGAGAUCUAUCCACCUUUAUAUCCAGAGUGCCGAGAUUAAAGGUGUGUGCUACCACCUCCAGACUUCACUCCAAACUGAAGAGAUGGCCGGAACAGGCAGGACAGUCCUCAAGAAGUCACCCAGGAUGGAGAGGGCUGUCACCGAAGACAAGAGCAGUCAUUCACCUCUAAAGCACUGUGCAGAGGCCGUCAGGUAUGAGUAAUGAAGUGAAACAAAAGAAACAGUAUUGCCUUGAGUAUUGUGUGUGCCUGUGUGUGUGUGUGUGCAUGCACACGUGCACAUGUGUGUACAGGCAUGUGCAUGCGUGUCUGUCUACAUACCACAUCACACAUGUGAAGGAGAGAAGAACCUCAGGUGGGAGCCUCAUUUCUACCUUGCAUCAGGCAGUGUCUCUCAUUCAGUGCACACACCAGGCUCGCUGGCUUUUGCUGUGUACUGUGUUAUUGCCCCUGCCCCAAGAUUCUUCAUCUCCAGACGUAGAAUGUUGACCCGAGGUAGAGCCUGGGAAAUGCUCGCAUGUUUGCUUUAAUGGGAAUGCUCUAGUGAGGAGAGAUGUGUUGCUCCUUAGACCUGCCACGGCGGCUGCCUUUACAGGGGCUCAGUUGUUCAAUUCCCCCCUGGAAAUUUAAUAACUACGUUAUUAUGGUUUGUCAGGUUGAUUUCUAUGGCUUGUGCUGUGAAGUGGGUUCGCGUGUUACUUCGUUACUUUGUGGUCCUCCCCUGCUGCUGCUCAGAAUAUGGUAUCUUCAUUGAGCGAGAGAAAUGAGCCCCCUUUCUGGGUGGGCAAACUGGAGAAAGCAGUGUUUUCCCUGGGGCAGACAUAGCCUCUCAUCAGGACAAAAGUGCCUGGCGGUGGAGGGUGAGGCUGGGGUGGUUUCAGGCCUCGCUCCAGUCCCGUCUGUGGUCAGGCCCCUCUGUGCAGGCACAGGCCACAUAACAUCACUCAUGGUGAUGGACCUGGACCGCAAGCCACUUGUUUCGUGGAUGAUUCGUCUUCUGUCUCAAAGCAGAGUCUCGUGUAGAGGUUGGCUUUGAUCCUCCUGCCUCAGCCUCCCAAGUGCUCCGUCAGAACCUUCUGGUGACCAACUUGCGGGCUUUAGAGCAGCAGUUCUCAACCUUCCUAAAGCUGUGGCCUUUUAACACAGUUCCUCAUGUUGUGGUGACCCCCAAGCAUAAAAUUACUUCAUUACUACUUUAUUACUCUAAUUCCGAAUCGUGGUGUACAUAUCUGAUAUGCAGGAUAUAUGGUGGCUUUAGAGGAAGCCUGCUCCUGAGCCCACUCCCAUGCCAGUGCUGGGCUGGAGCCCAUGGCCAAAUACAUGCUCAACAUGCACUCCAUCACAAUGCUCUACCCCUAGUCUGACAGACACCCUUCCCUCUCCCAUGGGAACAAAACUCACUGAGGGAGUACAGUCACGGUCUCUGGGGGUGACAAGGCGGGGCCUGUGGGCGAUGGUGACAGUAACUGGAAAUCACCCCCAGAGGACUGAUGACACAGGAAGAAAGACCAAGGAGGCAGAAUGCUGUGAGAACGGGUCUCACCACUUCUUUUCACAGCCAGGCAGCCACAGUCACCAGAGGAGGACUGUACCCUCAUGUGAGCCAUUCUGGUUUUCUGGGAGGAAGCCGGAUAGAUAUGAGUCAGCCAUGACUGUCUCAUUUCAGGGGACAUCAUGUAGGACAUCUGCAUCUGUAACUUCAGAAGGCUGUGUGGGACUUGGGUAUGACUCUUCGGGGUGCAUACCUAGUGUGUACAAAGUGUAGCCCAGCACCAGCGCUAGGAACUAAGAAGCCAUUUAAAGAUAGGAACCUGUAGCAAGGUAUAUUUGGGUUCCAAUCUCAGUUUUGUCCGUCUCUAGCUCUGUGGCCGGCGCAUAUUAACCUCUUAUUUGUUUGUUUACCUAGAUUAAUUUUAAGGACAGGUUCUCACUGUGCAGCUCUGGCUGGCCUCGAUCUCAGGAAGUGCUGAGACUAAAGGUGUGCACUCUCGUUGCACAGCUCGACACUGCCCAUAACUCCAGCCCCAGAGGAUCUGAUGCCAUAUUCUUGGGUUGGGCACACACAUAAAAGUGGUGCCCCUGCCCCCGCACAUAAACACACAUCACACAUAAUAAAAAAAAAAAAAAAGGAAAGAAACCAUGCCUUGCCUGUUCUCUUCUUUUCAACUUGGAUGUGGAUCUGGGUACACCAGAGGUUCUCUAAAUGUAGCUAAGUGACAUGGUGACUUCCAAUCUCAUGGGAAAGCUCACGUAGCUUCUGGUGGCUUCUGUUACGACAAUCACACUGGGAUUCUUCAAUUGCCACAGAAGAAAGCCACAGCCACCCAUCCUUGGUGGAGCCCCCAAUAUGUGAAUAGAGAAGCCCCAGAGUUUCUCCUGUCCCUGACUGCAAACUCAAGACCCUGGAGUGAGGCCAGCCCAGUCACUCCAACCCAUACCCAAGAGAGUUGGUUGCCAUUGCUCUAAGCCCCUGUUUGGGGAUACUGUGCUAGGGCACAAUGGACAAGCUAGAACAGACUCUCCAAUACCUGGAGGUAGACCUGCUUCCAUAGCAAAUCCUCAUUAUGGCUUUAGGGCUGGGAUGUGGGCAGCG